GACGAACGCUGGCGGCGUGCUUAACACAUGCAAGUCGAACGGAAAGGCCCUGCUUUUGUGGGGUGCGCGAGUGGCGAACGGGGGAGUAACACGUGAGUAACCUGCCCUUGUCUGUGGGAGACAUCCAGGGAAAAGGGGUUAAUACAGGAUAGGAGCUCCUGCUGCAUGGGGGGGGUGGGAGAGUGUCGGCGGUUGGGGAUGGACUCGCGGCUUAUCAGCUUGUUGGGGGGGUAGUGGCUUACCAAGGCUUGGACGGGUAGGCCGCCUGAGAGGGUGACCGGCCACACUGAGACUGAGAUACGGCCCAGAAACCUACGGGUGGCAGCAGUGGGGAAUAUUGCACGAUGGGCGGAAGGCUGAUGCAGCAGCGCCGCGUGCGGGAUGACGGCCUUCGGGUUGUAAACCGCUUGCGCCUGUGACGAAGCGUUAGUGACGGUAAUGGGUAAAGAAGAGCCGGCUAACUACGUG
rnacentral:rRNA from 1 species